UCGGUAAGCUGAUAUGAAGCGUACUAGCCGGCGAUGUCCGAAUGGGGAAACCCAGUGCAUCAAUGCACUAUCGUUUGAUGAAUUCAUAGUCAAACGAGGCGAACCGGGGGAAUUGAAACAUCUCAGUACCCCGAGGAAAAAAAAUCAACCGAGAUUCCCCCAGUAGCGGCGAGCGAACGGGGAGCAGCCCAGAGUCAACAUCAAUAUUUACCGCAGGAGAAGGGUCUGGAAAAGUCGGCAAUAAAGGGUGAUAGCCCCGUAUCUGAAACGGUAAGUGUUGUGAACUCGAAGAGUAGGGCGGGACACGUGUUAUCCUGUCUGAAUAUGGGGGGACCAUCCUCCAAGGCUAAAUACUCCUGACUGACCGAUAGUGAACCAGUUCCGUGAGGGAAAGGCGAAAAGAACCCCGGCGAGGGGAGUGAAAUUGAACCUAAAACCGUGUACGUACAAACAGUGGGAGCCCCCAAAAGGGUGUGACUGCGUACCUUUUGUAUAAUGGGUCAGCGACUUAUAUUCUGUAGCAAGGUUAACCGGAUAGGGGAGCCGUAGAGAAACCGAGUCUUAACUGGGCGUUAAGUUGCAGGGUAUAGACCCGAAACCCGGUGAUCUAGCCAUGAGCAGGUUGAAGGUUGGGUAACACUAACUGGAGGACCGGA
rnacentral:rRNA from 1 species